UACGAAGGGGGCUAGCGUUGCUCGGAAUUACUGGGCGUAAAGCGCACGUAGGCGGCUUUCUAAGUCGGGGGUGAAAUCCUGGAGCUCAACUCCAGAACUGCCUUCGAUACUGGAGAGCUUGAGUCCGGGAGAGGUGAGUGGAACUGCGAGUGUAGAGGUGAAAUUCGUAGAUAUUCGCAAGAACACCAGUGGCGAAGGCGGCCUCACUGGCCCGGUACUGACGCUGAGGUGCGAAAGCGUGGGGAGCAAACAGGGAUUAA
rnacentral:rRNA from 1 species